CACCGCGGUUAUACGAGAGGCCCAAGCUGACAGUUUUCGGCGUAAAGAGUGGUUAAUGGAUCCUUAAACUAAAGCCGAACGUCUUCAAAGCCGUUUAACGCAUUCGAAGAUAUGAAGCCCAUCCACGAAGGUGGCUUUAUGACUUUUGAACCCACGAAAGCUGGGGAA
rnacentral:rRNA from 1 species